CAGUAGCCGCGGUAAUACGGAGGGGGCUAGCGUUGUUCGGAAUUACUGGGCGUAAAGCGCACGUAGGCGGCUUGGUAAGUUAGAGGUGAAAGCCCGGAGCUCAACUCCGGAAUUGCCUUUAAGACUGCCGAGCUAGUAGGUGAGAGAGGUAAGUGGAAUUCCGAGUGUAGAGGUGAAAUUCGUAGAUAUUCGGAAGAACACCAGUGGCGAAGGCGGCUUACUGGCUCAUUCUAGACGCUGAGGUACGAAAGCAUGGGGAGCAAACAGGAUUAGAUACCCCUGUAGUCCCUGUCUCUUAUAC
rnacentral:rRNA from 1 species